rfam:Sporothrix schenckii ATCC 58251 unplaced genomic scaffold supercont1.7, whole genome shotgun sequence.
UCCCUUGUGGCGCAAUUGGCUAGCGCGUUAGACUGUUAUCCACCUAAUGAUAGUCUAUCUAAAGGUUGGUGGUUCGAGCCCACCCAAGGGAG